rnacentral:rRNA from 1 species
CCUACGGGAGGCAGCAGUGAGGAAUAUUGGUCAAUGGACGAGAGUCUGAACCAGCCAAGUAGCGUGAAGGAUGACUGCCCUAUGGGUUGUAAACUUCUUUUAUAUGGGAAUAAAAUGUUCCACGUGUGGGAUUUUGUAUGUACCAUAUGAAUAAGGAUCGGCUAACUCCGUGCCAGCAGCCGCGGUACUACGGAGGAUCCGAGCGUUAUCCGGAUUUAUUGGGUUUAAAGGGAGCGUAGGUGGAUUGUUAAGUCAGUUGUGAAAGUUUGCGGCUCAACCGUAAAAGUGCAGUUGAAACUGGCAGUCUUGAGUACAGUAGAGGUGGGCGGAAUUCGUGGUGUAGCGGUGAAAUGCUUAGAUAUCACGAAGAACUCCGAUUGCGAAGGCAGUUCACUGGACUGCAACUGACACUGAGGCGCGAAAGUGUGGGUAUCAAACAGGAUUAGAUACCCCAGUAGUC